UCCUUCCCCGUUAAGUUGGUAUUCAGUCCCUAUCAUCUUUAUAGUUAUUAUUUCCCAGCUAUAACAUAUCACUGAUUUAUUUGGUAUUUAGCUCCCUAUCAUCUUUAUUGCAAUUCAGUAAUUAAGGUUAAGUUUAAUCUUAUGAAUGCAAUGUAUAAAUGAAUCACUCAUGCACACUGCCAUAAUAAGCAUAUUGCAAAUAAUGGGAUAUUUGUAACUAAGGUUUUUGUCAUAUUUGUUCUAAAUUAUCAGUUAAGUUAAUGUUAGGAUGCAAUGUCUAAAUUAAUCAAUCAUGCACACACCGUUAUUAUAGGCAUAUUGCAAUAAUGGGAUAGCAGUAUCUAAGUUUUGUUCAUAUUUAUUCCCUGUUUUCAGUAAAUUCCCUUUCAUCCCUGUUUACUUGGUAUUCAUACCCCUAUCAUCUUUAUAAUAAUUAUUUCCCAGCCAUAGCCUACCACUGAUUUAUCAAAUAAGCUAAGGUUAGUAUGCAAUGUCUAAAUGAAUCACUGAUGCACACACCGCUAUUAUAGGCAUUCCAAUAAUGGGAUAUUAGUAUCUAGGGUCUUUGUCAUAUUUGUUCUCUGUUUGAAGUAAAUUCCCAUUCUUCUCUGUUAAGUUGGUAUUCAGUCCCUAUCAUCUUUAUAGUAAUUAUUUCCCAGCUAUAACAUAUUACUGAUUUAUCAAUUAAGUUAAGGUUAGGUGUAAUCUUAUGAAUGCAGUAUCUAAAUGAAUCACGCACACACCGUCAUUUAGGCAUUGCAAUCAUGAGAUUCUAGUGUCUGGUUUUGUAAAGUUAUUGAUUCUCUCUUUUAAGUAAAUUCCAGUCCUUCCCUGUUUAGUUGGUAUUUAGCUCCCUAUCAUCUUUAUAGUAAUUAUUUAGCAGCCAUAACUCAUCACUGAUUUAAUAAUUAAGUUAAGGUUAGGA